rnacentral:rRNA from 1 species
AGGGUUCGACUCCGGAGAGGGAGCCUGAGAAACGGCUACCACAUCCAAGGAAGGCAGCAGGCGCGCAAAUUACCCACUCUCGGCACGAGGAGGUAGUGACGAAAAAUAACGAGGCGGUUCUCUAUGAGGCCCGCUAUCGGAAUGGGUACAAUUUAAACCCUUUAACGAGGACCUAUGAGAGGGCAAGUCUGGUGCCAGCAGCCGCGGUAAUUCCAGCUCUCAAGGUGUAUAUCGCCAUUGCUGCGGUUAAAAAGCUCGUAGUUGGAUCUGCGCCUUCGGACUCGGUCCGCCCAACGGGUGUGAACUGGGAUCCAAGGCUUCUACUGCUGGUUUUCCCUUGAUGCUCUUCACUGGGUGUCUUGGGUGGCUAGCGAGUUUACUUUGAAAAAAUUAGAGUGCUCAACACAGGCUAACGCCUGAAUACUCGUGC